rnacentral:lncRNA from 1 species
GGAGGAGAAAUCGCCGAGCCGCGGAAAGGAGGAGAAAUCGCCGAGCCGCGAAAAGGAGGAGAGAUCGCCGAGCCGCGAAAAGGUGGAGGAAUCGUCGAGCUGAUUCAUCCAAUCCGUUAUUUGAUCAACAGGUAAAAAAAAAAAUGAAGAAGAAAAAAAAAAGAAAACAUAAAAAGAAAAAAGAAAAAAAAAGAAAGAAAAAGAAAAAAAGAUCUCUCUUCUUCCCCCCUCCCCCUUUAUUUUUUUUCUUUUUUUUGGUCCUGCGAUUGUAGCCAUCCAUACCAUCUAGAUGGCUUCGAUGGAAGAGUGGAGGGGAAUCUUUGAUUUCCCGUUUCUUCGGACCUCUCAAUACCCUAUUCAAAGUUGUUGAUGAUGGAAUGGGUGAUCUACAUUACCGCGACUACCCGAACAUCGCCGAUUUGAUACUUUCGAAAGAAGAAGGGAGGGGAAUCUUUGAUUCCCCGUUUCUUCGGACCCUUCAAUAUUUCUUCGAAAAUGUCAAAUCAAAUCCGACGGCCGAACAGAUCCAUGCCACCGUCAAUAACUUCGCCGACGACAUCUACAGCAUCGCAGGUUUGAUACUUUCGAAAGAAGAGGGGAGGGGAAUCUUUGAUUCCCCGUUUCUUUGGACCCUUCAAUAUUUCUUCGAAAUUGUCAAACCAAAUCCGACGACCGAACAGAUCCGUGCCACCGUCAACAACUUCGCUGACGACAUCUACAGCAUUGCCAGGGAAGUAUCGCCAGAAGAGGGGAGGGGAAUCUUUGAUUCCCUGUUUCUUCGGACCCCAAAUCAAAAUUAAAACGGGGAUUUCUUCGGACCCCAAAUUGGAAUCAAAACGGGGAUUUCUUCGGACCCCAAAUCAGAAUGAAAAGGGGAUUUCUUCAGACCCCAAAUCAAAAUUAAAACGGGGAUUUCUUCGGACCCCAAAUCAAGAUCAAACAGGGAUUUCUUCGUACCCCAAAUCAAAUUGAAAAAUCAAAUCCAAUUGGAGAAUCAAACAGGAAUUUCUUCGGACCCCAAAUCAAAUUGGAAAAUUAAAUCCAAAUUGGAGAAUCGAACGGGGAUUUCUUCGGACCCCAAAUCAAAUCAAAUUGGAAAAUCAAAUCCAAAUUGGAGAAUCAAACGGGGAUUUCUUUGGACCCCAAAUCAAAUCCAAUUGGAGAAUCAAACAGGAAUUUCUUCGGACCCCAAAUCAAAUUUGAAAAUCAAAUCCAAAGCGAAAUCAAACGGGAAAAUCAAAAUGGGGAUUUCUUCGGACCCCAAAUCCAAAUCGAGAUCAAAAGGAGAUUUCUUCGAACCCCAAAUUAAACCAAAAUCAAAAGGGAAUUUCUUCGGAUCCGAACCAAAAUGCAAAAAUCAAAAUCCGAAAUAAAAUCCGAAAUAAAAUCCGAAAUAAAUUUCUUUGGAUUGCCUCGAAUCCGAAAUAAAAUCCGAACCCAAACCAAACCAAAACCAAAACCAAAUAUAGUCCACAAAUAAACCCUAACCCAAAACCCAAAUCAAAUCGAAACCCAAACCUAAAUCAAGUCCACAUCCAAACCUAAUCCAAACCAAGUCCACAUAAAGAACCCAAACCCAUUCCACAAAUAGAAUCCAAACGCAACCCAAACCAAGUCUAUAAAUAAAACCAAAAUUCAAAUCGAAACCCGAACCCAAAACCAAAACCCAAACCCAACUCAAAUCAAGUCCACAAUCCAAAUCCAAACCCAAAACCCAAAUCCAACUUCCAACUUAGGCUCAUGNACAACCCAUUCGAAAUUCGAAUUUGAAUUUCGAAUUCCCAACCAAUUCCUAAAACAUCAUCCAACGACACAUUCGAAAUUCGAAUUCGAAUUUCGAAUUCCCAACCAUUUCCCAAAAUAUCAUCCAACAACCCAUUCGAAAUUCGAAUUUCGAAUUCCCAACCAUUUCCUAAAAUAUCAUCCAACAACCCAUUCGAAAUUCGAAUUCGAAUUUCGAACCCCCAACCAUUUCCCAAAAUAUCAUCCAACAACCCAUUCGAAAUUCGAUUUCGAAUUUCGAAUUCCCAACUAAUUCCCAAAACAUCUUCCAACAACUCAUUCAAAAUUCGAUUUCGAAUUUCGAAUUCCCUAACCAAUUCCCAAAACAUCAUCCAACAAUCCAUUCGAAAUUCGAUUUUGAAUUCACAACCAACUCCAAAAUAUCCUCCAAUAAUCCAUUCAAAAUUCGAAAUUCGAAUUUCGAACCUCCAACCAACUCCCAAAAUAUCUUCCAACUAUCCAACAACUCAUUCAAAUUCAAUUCCCAACCACUCCCCAAAUAUCCUCCAACCAUCCAACAAAUAAUUCAAAAUUCAAAUUUCGAAUUUUGAAUUCCUAACUAACUCCUCCCCUCCCAUUAUAAAUACGAGAACCGAAAUCAAAUUCUGGAGAAUUUUUUUUUGACGGAGACGAUACGAUAGACAAAGAACAAAAAAAGAUAGAUAGAUUGCUACACUCGUUCCGACAUACAAAAAAAAAAAAAGGAGAUAUCACCGAGCCGCGGAAAGGAGGAGGAUCGCCGAGCCGCGGAAAGGAGGAGAAAUCGCUGAGCCGCAGAAAGGAGGAGAAAUCGCCGAGCCUCGAAAGGAGGAGAGAUCGCCAAGCCGCGGAAAGGUGGAGGAAUCGUCGAGCUGAUUCAUCCAAUCCGUCAUUUGAUCAACAGGUAAAAAAAAAAAGAAAAAAAAAAGAAAAGAAAAAUGAAGAAGAAAAAAAAAGAAAACAAAAAAAAGAAAAAAAAAAAGAAAGAAAAAGAAAAAAAGAUCUCUCUU